UACAGAGGGGCAAGCGUUAUUCGGAAUUAUUGGGCGUAAAGGGCGCGUAGGCGGCCUGGCAAGUGGAAGGUGAAAUCCCUCGGCUUAACCGAGGAACUGCCUCCCAAACUGCUUGGCUUGAGACCGGGAGAGGUGAGUGGAAUUCCCAGUGUAGCGGUGAAAUGCGUAGAUAUUGGGAGGAACACCAGUGGCGAAGGCGGCUCGCUGGGACGUUACUGACGCUGAGACGCGAAAGCGUGGGGAGCAAACAGGG
rnacentral:rRNA from 1 species